UACGUAGGGGGCGAGCGUUGUCCGGAUUUAUUGGGCGUAAAGCGAGCGCAGGUGGUUUAUUAAGUCUGGUGUAAAAGGCAGUGGCUCAACCAUUGUAUGCAUUGGAAACUGGUAGACUUGAGUGCAGGAGAGGAGAGUGGAAUUCCAUGUGUAGCGGUGAAAUGCGUAGAUAUAUGAAGGAACACCGGUGGCGAAAGCGGCUCUCUGGCCUGUAACUGACACUGAGGCUCGAAAGCGUGGGUAGCAAACAGG
rnacentral:rRNA from 1 species